rnacentral:tRNA from 1 species
GCGGGUAUGGUGAAACUGGUAGACACAAGAGACUUAAAAUCUCUCGGCUUCACGGCCGUGCCGGUUCGAGUCCGGCUACCCGCACCA